rnacentral:sRNA from 1 species
UGCUUAGUUGGGUAGAUGAGCUCACAGC